AGAGCUCAGCUCAGGAUGGGAUGGCUGGUCCCAGCAGCUGAUGGAAGCCUCCAGAGAUAGGAGAUUGCUUCUAUGGACUUCUCAAAGGUGGGUCAGGCUGUCAGGGGAGAACCCAGAGGCUGUAUGUGGCCAUGGCUACAGGAUCGACGGGGCAUGAGCUGGAGAAGCAGCAGG